UGCAGCCGAGCGGUAUUGUUUCUUCGGAAAUGAGAGAGCGGCGUACGGGUGCGGAACACGUGUGCAACCUGCCUUUAUCUGGGGGAUAGCCUUUCGAAAGGAAGAUUAAUACUCCAUAAUAUAUUGAACGGCAUCGUUUAAUAUUGAAAGCUCCGGCGGAUAGAGAUGGGCACGCGCAAGAUUAGCUAGUUGGUGAGGUAACGGCUCACCAAGGCGAUGAUCUUUAGGGGGCCUGAGAGGGUGAUCCCCCACACUGGUACUGAGACACGGACCAGACUCCUACGGGAGGCAGCAGUGAGGAAUAUUGGUCAAUGGGUGCAAGCCUGAACCAGCCAUCCCGCGUGAAGGACGACUGCCCUAUGGGUUGUAAACUUCUUUUGUAUAGGGAUAAACCUACCCUCGUGAGGGUAGCUGAAGGUACUAUACGAAUAAGCACCGGCUAACUCCGUGCC
rnacentral:rRNA from 1 species